CACAACCCUGAUACUGCGAAGAUUCGRGAGUGCUCKYAAGAGAACCGRCRCACAGGUGSUGCAUGGCUGUCGUCAGUUGGGCGUGAGRUGUUGGGUUAAGUCCCGCAACGAGCGCAACCCUGAMCUUAGKUGCUACGCAAGAGCACUCUAAGGAGACUGCCGGUGACAAACCGRAGGAAGGUGGGGAUGACGUCAAGUCCUCYUGGCCCUUAUGGGUAGGGCUKCACACGUCAUACAAUGGWCGGAACAGAGGGUUGSCAACCCGCGAGGGGGAGCUAAUCCCAGAAAACCRAUCGUAGUCCGGAUUGCACUCUGCAACUCGAGUGCAUGAAGCUGGAAUCGMUAGUAAUCGCGGAUCAGCWUGCCUYGGUGAAUACRUUCCCGGGUCUUGUACACACCGA
rnacentral:rRNA from 1 species